rnacentral:rRNA from 1 species
GACAGAGGGUGCAAACGUUGUUCGGAAUUACUGGGCGUAAAGCGAGUGUAGGCGGUUCGGUAAGUCGGAUGUGAAAGCCCCGGGCUCAACCCGGGAAGUGCACUCGAUACUGCCGAGCUAGAGUAUCGGAGAGGUUGGUGGAAUUCUCGGUGUAGAGGUGAAAUUCGUAGAUAUCGGGAGGAACACCAGUGGCGAAGGCGGUUACCUGGAGCUUUGCUGACGCUGAUGCGCGAAAGCGUGGGGAGCGAUCCGG